GAUGAACGCUAGCGGCAGGCCUAAUACAUGCAAGUCGGACGGGAUUCAGGAGCUUGCUUCUGAUGAGAGUGGCGCACGGGUGCGUAACACGUAUGUAACCUACCUUUAUCAGGGGGAUAGCCUCUCGAAAGAGAGAUUAAGCCCGCAUAAAAUCACAGCACAGCAUUGUGUAAUGAUCAAAUAUUUAUAGGAUAAAGAUGGGCAUGCGGAACAUUAGCUAGAUGGCGGGGUAACGGCCCACCAUGGCGACGAUGUUUAGGGGAUCUGAGAGGAUGGCCCCCCACACUGGUACUGAGACACGGACCAGACUCCUACGGGAGGCAGCAGUAAGGAAUAUUGGUCAAUGGGCGGAAGCCUGAACCAGCCAUGCCGCGUGCAGGAAGACGGCCCUACGGGUUGUAAACUGCUUUUAUACGGGAAUAAACCCAGAUACGUGUAUCUGGCUGAAUGUACUGUAAGAAUAAGGAUCGGCUAACCCCGU
rnacentral:rRNA from 1 species